rnacentral:tRNA from 1 species
AUUUCUGUAGUUGAGGGUAACAACAGUGGUUUUUCAGACCGCAGGGCCCAGAGAGAGACUGGGCAGAAAUA